rnacentral:rRNA from 1 species
GACGAACGUUGGCGGCGUGCUUAAUACAUGCAAGUCCACUGAAGCAGUGGUAGCAAUAUCGCUGUGGAGGUGGCGCACGGGUGAGUAACACGUAGGUAAUCUGCCUUCAGGUCUGGCAUAACUCCGUGAAACCGGGGCUAAUAGCAGAUGAUGCAGCGGCUCGACAUCGAGACAGUUGUUAAAGCUAUGUCGCCUGAAGAUGAGCCUGCGUCUGAUUAGCUAGUUGGCGGGGUAACGGCCCACCAAGGCAACGAUCAGUAGCUGGUCUGAGAGGAUGAUCAGCAACACUGGAACUGAGACACGGUCCAGACUCCUACGGGAGGCAGCAGUAAGGAAUAUUGCUCAAUGGGAGAAAUCCUGAAGCAGCAACGCCGCGUGAGGGACGAAGGGCUUUGGCUUGUAAACCUCUGUAGUGAGAGAAAAAAAUCCCAAUCUUUGGGACAUGAUGGUAGCUCAAAAGUAAGCCCCGGCUAACUACGUG